AGCGAACGCUGGCGGCAGGCUUAACACAUGCAAGUCGAGCGCCCCGCCAGGGGAGCGGCAGACGGGAGAGUAACACGUGGGAACAUACCUUUUGGUUCGGAACAACUGAGGGAAACUUCAGCUAAUACCGGAUAAGCCCUUACGGGGAAAGAUUUAUCGCCGAAAGAUUGGCCCGCGUCUGAUUAGCUAGUUGGUGAGGUAACGGCUCACCAAAGCGACGAUCAGUAGCUGGUCUGAGAGGAUGAUCAGCCUCACUGGGACUGAGACACGGCCCAGACUCCUACGGGAGGCAGCAGUGGGGAAUAUUGGACAAUGGGGGCAACCCUGAUCCAGCCAUGCCGCGUGAGUGAUGAAGGCCUUAGGGUUGUAAAGCUCUUUUGCCCGGGAAGAUAAUGACGGUACCGGGAGAAUAAGCCCCGGCUAACUUCGUG
rnacentral:rRNA from 1 species